UUUAGAUUUGAUUUGUAUCAUACAAAAGUAUCGAAAUUUCAAAUGUAUGAUAUUUAGCCUCUCCCUCGCUCAUCACGCAAAACUGAGCACUGGUGCUCUCUUUUGCUCUCAUACGAAAUGGUCAUCACACUCAAGCAGCGACGCCAGCAGCGUUUUCUCUUGCUACCCUUUACACAUUUUGGGACAUUAUAAAAUUGAUGAGACGUUUGCAACCAAAGGUAUGAAAGCCAGAGUCUAGCAACAACAUACAGCAACAGUUUGUUCCUUUUCCAACUAAAUAACUCAGAAAUCAGAGCCACACUCAAAAUAUCAAUUCAAUUACACAGCCGACGAUCGCGACAAAACGAAGCAACUCUGCAGGCGUCGCAGUCGCUGGUUUGUAUCAUACGAAUCAGAAUCACACUCAAUGCGCAAGAGCGGCGCUUUCACUAUCUCUCUGCGUACGUUUUACAGAACGUUGAAAAAAGGAUACUGCUCAGUGGGUGAGAUGUUUGUAAUGUCUUGAAUGUCAUCUUUAACUUACUUGGAUAUAAAAACUUCCAUACGCAACAAUGCUGGUUUGCACUGCAACUGAAUUAAAAGCGUUACAAAGACUACCAGCAACAGGCAAAUAGAACUUGGCCACAUUUGCCAACAUUCAAAGGCCUAAGAUAGUGUUCUAGGUUUGUUUACAUCGGAAUCGGCCAACUCUGACUCGGGCCGCUCCCAUGAGUCGCUCACCUUUGAAUUUUUAACUUUUCUAUGGAACAUAGGGUAUGGAAACUUUCAUACCAGCUGUCCCAAUUGAGUGUAAUUGUUCUUUUACAAAUAAGAAUCAGCUCAACAAAAUAACAAACACUCAAGGCGCGAGCGGCGCUCAAAAUCACACUCAAAAUCCGAAGCGACAGCGACGCCAGCAGCGAUGGUACGGUUGUACGGUGGUUGUGGAAAAAUGUAAAAGGAGACACUGUGGACUUUUACUGCCUCAAUCUUUUCUCGGCCGCGGCAACGAAACAACAGAAAUUUGGUUAAAUUUUGGCGGUUGGCGCUUUUAACCGAAUUCAGAAAAAGUAGUUCCGUUUCUGUUGAUAUUAUCCCACAAAACCAUUCGAACUCAGCGGCAGCAAAAGAAACACAAAAAAAAAAGACGGCACUCUGACAUCAUCUGCGCUCGCCUCCCCACCCGCCCCCUAACCGGUACUACUCUGCACAGCUGCCCCACCUCCCUGCCCCAACCCGCCACAGCCAACAAGAAAACAUCAAAAAUUAAAACACAAGAAAUAGCAACAAAAGCAACCACAAACAACAAAAUAUUAUUCUUCCCCUUUCGGCUCAAUUGACACCACAUAAAAAACAACAACAAAACAUACAACAACAAAAUCCCAAAAAAAAAACUUAUUUUUUUUGGAACUUUUCACAAGGAAAACUAAAUUCGAGCUCAAAAAACGCAACGUAAAAAUUCAAAAACAACAAAAACUGUUUUCAAAAAAUAAAAC